CACAGACCCCUCCUCACUUUACUAAUUUCUCAUUUUCCUCACUUCACUAAACCAAAAUAUAUGUUCACUUCACUAAUUUCUACAAAUAACACCCUUUCUCUCAAACAAUCAAUAGUGUCGCCGUCGCUUUCGUUGUCUUAUCGCCACAUCCGACCUCAAGUUUUCAUCAUCUUGUGUUGUUGCCGCCCUCGUCAUUUCCAACCUUAAAUAAGAAUUUCGAUUCUCAAAGGUAAAAUUUUUUUUGUACUCUCACAGUUAAGAUUUCAUCCAUUUUCAAGAAAGAUUUUUUUGAUUUUAAAAAUAUGAAUUUAGCUUUAUGAGUUUCGAUUCUAUUUGAAUUUUUUCUUUUUGAAAUGAAAAAUUUGUAGCCUCAUUAAUUAUGAAAUCCCCAACAAUGUUGUUUCUUGAAAGCUCACUUAUCAGAAUUUAGAACAAAAAUAAUUUUUUUUAGAAGUGAAAAGAAAUAUUUUGUACAUUAAAGAUAUACAAUACAUUUGAAUUUUGUACAAUGAAGAUAUACAAUAUGCUUGAAAAAAAUAAAGUUUUGGUUAGAAUUUCAAAAAAUCAAAAUCAAUUUUUAAAACUUACAAGAUAAAUUUUCAAACUGCGAUUCAAAAUAUAUGGCCAAAUAAAUAUCUAAAGUUAGAUUUUCUAAUUCAAAAUUUAUAGCGAAAUAUUUUUAUACGUAUUACUGCAUAACUUUUAACCAUGAGUUGGUUAUUACCUAGUUUGUUUCUUGUUUUUAUGAUGUUUCAAGAAUUAUUUUGCACUUGUUCAUCAAUUUUUGAUCUUUUUGAAACUUGGUGUCAAUAAAAUGGUAAAAAAUAUUCUUUAGAACGAGAAAAAUUGUAUAGAUUUAUGGUGUUUGAAGUGGAGUUUGGAGUGAUGUUGGUGCUAUUAAUGUUACUUCUUUUUUGGAUUGGAGAGAAAGAGAGCGGUUACUAAUGUCAUAUCAAGGGAGUUGUGGUGUAUUGAGUUUAUUUGUCUUGUCUUUAAGUAGUGAGAUAUACUUAACACAAUGACUAUUUAUGUGGAAGAUAUAUAACUUUCUUGUGUCAAGGAUCUAUGAGAAAUAAUCUCUCUACUUCUGAGGUAGCACUAAGAUUUCUGUACACCCCACUAUUCUUAUUAUUGUUGUUGGAGAAUAUAUGUAAAGCAUAAUCAAGAUCAAAAUUUUUUUCAAAGUUUGAAUUUUGAUGAGCUUGCGCUUCCGAAAAUGGAGAUCGUGGUGUUAGAUUGAGCUGUGCUUGAGGUUUUUAUAUUUGUCUUGUCUUUAAGUUGUGAGAUAUACUUAACAUAGUGAUUUUAUUUAUGUGGAGAAUAUAUAACAUAGUGAGAAUAAAUAAGCUAAUGAUUUCUGUUUUGUUUUGUGUGAGGUAGAUAAAAUAGCUCCAAGAAAAAAAGAGAAACAAUUGCUACUAAGAGGGGUAUUAGGACCAUCAUCAAAGAUAUCGGAUUCGUUUACUCCUGAUGUUGUUAAAAGAAGAAAAAAAUAAAUUUCG
rnacentral:lncRNA from 1 species